GAACUAUAAUCUACUAAUCUCUACUAGUCCAACACUUGGAUAGGUGCUCCUUCAGAUUGCUUGUAGUCAGAUAAAGGUGUUCUAUCUCUACAAAUCAUCCACACAAAGAUCGGUGCAGAUCAAACUCCUUAGGAGUGCUAGCUCGUAGGGAUCUUCAAAGACUAAACUAUUUCUUCUUCUCUUGAUCUUUUGGAUGCUCCAAAGGUGUGAAAGAAUUAGAGGAGAACGGGG
rnacentral:lncRNA from 1 species